rnacentral:rRNA from 1 species
UAGGGAAUUUUCCACAAUGGGGGCAACCCUGAUGGAGCAACGCCGCGUGCAGGAUGAAUGUCUUCGGAUUGUAAACUGCUUUUCUCUGUGACGAAUAUGACGGUAGCAGAGGAAUAAGGACCUGCUAACUACGUGCCAGCAGCCGCGGUCAUACGUAGGGUCCAAGCGUUAUCCGGAAUUACUGGGCGUAAAGAGUUGCGUAGGUGGCAUGUUAAGCGAAUAGUGAAAUGACGAGGCUCAACCUCGUGUCCAUUAUUUGAACUGGCAAGCUAGAGAAUGAGAGAGGUCACUGGAAUUCCUUGUGUAGGAGUGAAAUCCGUAGAUAUAGGGAGGAACACCGAUGGCGUAGGCAGGUGACUGGCUCAUUUCUGACACUAAGGCACGAAAGCGUGGGGAGCAAAC